rnacentral:rRNA from 1 species
GAUGAACGCUGGCGGCGUGCCUAAUACAUGCAAGUCGAGCGAACGGACGAGAAGCUUGCUUCUCUGAUGUUAGCGGCGGACGGGUGAGUAACACGUGGAUAACCUACCUAUAAGACUGGGAUAACUUCGGGAAACCGUAGCUAAUACCGGAUAAUAUUUUGAACCGCAUGGUUCAAAAGUGAAAGACGGUCUUGCUGUCACUUAUAGAUGGAUCCGCGCUGCAUUAGCUAGUUGGUAAGGUAACGGCUUACCAAGGCAACGAUGCAUAGCCGACCUGAGAGGGUGAUCGGCCACACUGGAACUGAGACACGGUCCAGACUCCUACGGGAGGCAGCAGUAGGGAAUCUUCCGCAAUGGGCGAAAGCCUGACGGAGCAACGCCGCGUGAGUGAUGAAGGUCUUCGGAUCGUAAAACUCUGUUAUUAGGGAAGAACAUUUGUGUAAGUAACUGUGCACAUCGUGACGGUACCUAAUCAGAAAGCCACGGCUAACUACGUG